UUCCCUGUAGAUUUGUCUUUAUUUCAGCUAGUGUAAACUCCAUUUCUUCCUUUAUGUUAUUGCUGUACUCAGUGAGUUCUUGGAGCAUCCCGAUCACUAGUAUUUUGAAAUGCAUCUGAUAAGUUGGUUAUCUCCAUUUCAUUUCAUUCUUUUUCAGUGGUUUUGGUCUGUUCUUUGAUUUUGGCCAUAUUUCUUUGUCUUCUCAAUUUGGCAGCUUCCCUGUUUGUUUCUGUGUAUUAGAUAGAGCUGCUUAGACUCCCUGUCUUAGUAUCAUGGCCUAUUGUAGACAAGGCCCCUGUAAAUUAUAUGAUAAUGAGGUAAUAGC